rnacentral:piRNA from 2 species
UGGCUGACAUGUGUUGUUGAGUUGGA